rnacentral:misc_RNA from 1 species
ACCCUUUCUGCUUCCUUGAUUUCCAUUUUCAAAGAAUAUCCGGAAUGCCAAUUUCACAUUUUAUUGGUGAAUCAUAUGCCAAUUGAACAUGAAGGAAAGCUUGGAACUCCAAUGUUAUUGGCCCCUAAUUCCCUAUUUAACUGAAUGCUAAAAUAUUCUAAGCAAGCUGUGGAGAAGGAAAACUUGGCAGUGAUAGAUAAUAUGUAGACGCUUAGGCAUUGCUCUUCUUCAAGUCGGGUCCAACAGUGCAAGGAUCAAAGUUAACUUCUUUGAAU